GACCUCCGGGGGCGGGGACGCCACGCCUGCGCAGUGGAGCUCGCGCGCGGAGUUCUGCGCUCCGGUGAAGCUCCGGCGGCGCGCGGCGACCCCAUGGAGGAGCCACGGGAGGAGUCGGAGCCCCUUCUGAGCCGGGCCCGGGGCGGCAGUGGCCGCCCGGCGGGCUCGGCCGGCUCCCGCGGCGUCCGCGUUGGGCCUGGUGCUGCGUCCAGGCAGGAUCUCUGCUUUGACCAGGCUGCCGUCUUCAUCGAAGAUGCCAUCCAGUACCGCUCCAUUAACCACCGCAUGGACGCCAGGUCGAUGUGGCUUUACCGACUGUAUUACUCCAACACCUGCCAGUGGACGUUGAGCCUCACCAUCUUCUUGAUCCUGCUUUUGGCUUUUAUCGAGACCCCUUCCUCGCUCACUAGCACCGCGGACGUCCGCUUCCGCUCGGCCCCCUGGGACCCGCCCUGUGGCCUCACCGAGAGCGUCGAGGCGCUCUGCCUGCUGGUCUUUGUGGCUGACGUGUCUGUGAAGAGCUAUCUGGUUGGAUGGGCCCAGUUCCGGAAGAACCCCUGGCUGCUGGCCUACCUCGCAGUGCUGGUCGUGUCUCUCGCGGACUGGAUCGUGUCGCUGAGUCUGCUUUGCCAGGAGCCCCUGCGGAUUCGCAGGCUCUUUCGCCCCUUCUUCUUGAUGCAAAACUCCUCCAUGAUGAAGAAGACGCUCAAGUGUAUCAGGUCGUCGCUGCCGGAAAUGGCCAGUGUUGUGCUGCUGCUGGCACUGCACCUGUGCGUCUUCACCAUGCUCGGGAUGCUUCUCUUCACAGGCGAGAAGCAGGACGACGGGCAGGACCGGGAGAGGCUGACGUACUUUCGCAACCUGCCGGAGGCCCUGACCUCCCUCCUGGUGCUGUUGACCACGGCCAACAACCCUGACGUGAUGACUCCUGCGUACUCCAAGAACCGGGCCUAUGCCAUUUUCUUCAUAGUCUUCACCCUGAUAGGAAGCUUGUUUCUGAUGAACCUGCUGACGGCCAUCAUCUACAACCAGUUCCGGGGCUACCUGAUGAAGUCCUUCCAGACCUCGCUGUUCCGGAGGCGGCUGGGGGCCCGGGCCGCCUACGAGGUCCUCUCCUCCAUGAGCACACGGGGAGAAGCCCACCCUCGAGGGGUCGGGGUGGACCCCCAGGACUUCCUGCAGGUGCUCCAGAGAGUCCAGCUGGACAGCCACCAGAAACCGGUCAUCAUGGAGAAGGUGCGUUCCUACGGUGGCGACCUUCUGUCGGCCGAGGAGUUUCAGAAGCUCUUCAACGAGUUUGACAAAAGGGUGAUUAAAGAGCGCCCGCCGCGGCCCGAGUACCGGUCUCCCUUCCUGCGGAGCGCUCAGUUCCUCUUCAGCCACCGCUAUUUUGACUACCUGGGGAACCUCAUCGCCCUUGGGAACCUCGUGUCCAUUUCUGUGUUCUUGGUGUUCGAUGCCGACGUGCUGCCCGGGGACCGUGAUGACUUCGUCCUCGGGAUUCUCAACUGCGUCUUUAUUCUGUACUACGUGCUGGAGCUGCUGCUCAAGGCGUUCGCUCUGGGCCUGCGGGGGUACCUGUCCUACUCCAGCAACGUAUUUGACGGGCUCCUCACCGUCGUCCUGCUGGUUUUGGAGAUCUCAACUCUGGCUGUGUACCGAUUCCCACACCCAGGCUGGAAGCCAGAGAUGCUGGGCCUGCUGUCGCUGUGGGACAUGGCCCGGCUGGUGAACAUGUUCAUCGUGUUCCGGUUCCUGCGCAUCAUCCCCAGCAUGAAGCUGAUGGCCUUGGUGGCCAGUACCAUCCUGGACCUGAUCAAAAACAUGCGGGCCUUCGGCGGGAUCCUGGUGGUCGUGUACUACGUCUUUGCCAUCCUGGGCAUCAACCUGUUCCGAGGUGUCGUCGUGGCGCCUGGAAACGGCAGCCUGGCCCCCGACAACAGCUCGGCUCCCUGCGGAAGCUUCGAGCAGCUGGAGUACUGGGCCAACAACUUUGAUGACUUCGCGGCCGCCCUGAUCACUCUGUGGAACGUGAUGGUGGUGAACAACUGGCAGGUGUUUCUGGACGCCUAUCGGCGCUUCUCGGGCCCGUGGUCGAAGAUGUACUUCGUGUUGUGGUGGCUGGUGUCAUCUGUCAUCUGGGUCAACCUGUUUCUGGCUCUGAUUCUGGAGAAUUUCCUCCACAAGUGGGACCGCCGCGCUCACCUGCAGUCCCUCGCUGGGGACCCAGAUACGUGCUGUCAGGUGACUGUGGAUCUCCUGUUCAGGGACGUCCUGGAGGAACCCACGGAGGAGGAGCUGCUGGAGAGGCUGAGCUGUCACCCGCACUUGCGGCUGUGCAGGUGACCCCCAGGUGCGCCGUCCUGGCACGGGCGGCAGGUGGCCGUGUGGCCUCGAGACGGACGCCCGUCGAGGCAGCAGCCCAGGAGGAGAGACUUUGCGUGGCCGGAAUUCUCCACCCACGCGAGGCGGGAGCGGAGAGCAGGGCCCUGUUCGCUGCCCGGCGGAACCACCACCUACCAGCGGCUUUUCCUCGCGGCGCCUUGGGCUCCGCGCCCGGCCGCUUUCUUUGGUCGGCUGCUGCAGUGAGACUUUGACUUUUCUACACCCGGGUGGAGGGUGACUCCCCGGGACCUUUGAGACUGUCUGGAAAGCAGGAGGCAGUGGCCUUCCUCGUGGGCCCUGCGACUUCCGUGGUGCCUUCGCUGCCGGUGGCCUUCAGGGACCACGGGCCCGCCUGGGGCCUGCACGGGCCAACCGGCAGCUUUCCAGGGCAUUCAGUUUGGGUGGUUUUAGAGGAAGAGAAUUUUAAGGGUUUUAUUGUUUUAUGGCUCCCAUGAGUAUUGAUUGGACGGGUUUCUUUACGGGUCAGAAUGCCCGUAGUUUUUAUCCUUGCGAAGAGUGAGGUCGUCAUUCUUACGUGGACACAACUCCAAUCCUGCUUCUCUGGAGCAGGGUGGCCAGGGCGUGUGGCCCAGGGGGCAGAAGUGCGUAAUGUGUGACAGGCCAUAUUGCCACUUGGGCCACCAUACAUCCAGGAAAACCGUCGAGAGUGUUCUCAUUUCAAGGGCCGACUCGAGUGCUUGCUGGGAGCCCCUGCAGGUUCCAGCUCCCACUCGGAAGGUCCCCUGCCUUGUGUUUCACGGCCCGUGUGCAGAGAAGCCCUGUCUGGUCAUUACUGUCAUGUGGCACGGAAUUCGGGUGACCCACGCCAGAGUCUGGGACACGGUGCUGCUCGGAGAGGCUGGCCCCGCCUUCAGGAUGGGCCAGCCGAAGGUGGUGCCCUCAAGCUGGUGACUUCUGUCCACAAGCUAGUGUCUCUUGGGUGCUCUGGGGGCACUGACUGUUCCUUCCUCAGUUUCAAAUGGUAUCGGCCUCCCAACAUUUGUCCCCGCGAGAACGAGGGCUGCGUUCACGGGGGACCUGGGGCUCCGCUUUCGGUUAAGGGGAGCUGGUGGGGGUUGCCCGGUGCCGUCUGGGGGCUGCACUGGGGAGGACCCGUUUGAGGAGGACACGUGCUCACAUCUCUCAGCCCCUUGCGGCUCUGGCGGGCACCGCUGUUGUUGUCUGUGGCUACCGUGGUCCUGGUCACCCCUCUGCACUCUGGAUGGGCGCGAGGUACAGGGGGCUCAGCCCUGCUGGACUCCGGAGUCCCCCAGUCGCAUGCAGGAGUCUGGGACACCUGGAGUGGUGUCGCUGCCCCAGUGGAGGGGGGUGGAGGCAGGGGCAGGACGUCACUGGGCCCCGGGGAGCCCCGUGGCACGGGUCAGGCUCCGAGGAGGGGCCCGUGUGUCCGCGGCCUGGGGAGCCCUGGCCUGGGUGUCGGCAAGAAGCUGAAUGGAGGCGGCUGGCCCAGUGGAGGGGUCUCCCGGGGGGCGAGGGGAAGGGGGUGGGCCAGAGUGGUGGGUUCGCAGCCACACGCACCAAGUAGUGGGGCCUUUGGUCCCAGACGCCGAUGGGCCUGGAGUUGGGUGCGGGCAAGGCAGGGACCCGGGUGGGCACCAAAGCCCCCACCUGCCUGGGAGGCCUGAGUCCUUCACGCCGCGGGGGACUUGCUUCGUACCUGCCCAGAUCGGGGCAACCAGCUAGCCCGGGCCUCCGAAGGUGACUUCCUCCAGGACCUGGGGUCGCCUGCCUGCCUUCACUGGGACCAGGAAGGGCUGCGAGUGGGCGGGGACUGUCUCCUCUCCCAUGGGGGUUCCCCACGGGGGCCCCAGGCCCCUGUCCCCACUGGGGGGCACCAGGAAGGACACAGCUGCUGUUUCUGAGGCCGGGGGAGGGCAGGGAGGGGCAGGAGCAAGGUGAGGCCGUGAGUUUGCUCGUGUUUAAUAAUAACGAACUAUAGAAAUGAUCCCCGAAAGUAUAGUCUUGCUCAUGUUUGAUAAUAACGUGGAAGUGAACGCAGACUUAGAGAAACGUCACAAGUACAGCUUUCCCGGGAUCACUGGGGAGUUCAGUUGUAGUUACGAUCCCUUUGCCUUCCGCACUUGAGGGAGGGUCUCCAACACAUGGGGACACUGGGAUGGGGUCCCCACGGCUUCCUGCUGGCUGGUGCUCACCCCAUGCGUGGCCAUUCGGAGCCUCCAUCCCGGACCCUCGGGCUCCGUGGUCAUCUGUGAUCUCCCCGGACAGGUGACCUCGGCGCUCUGGAAGGUCAGCCGGUGAUGGUGAUGGGAGGCUCCCAGGCUGGGUUUAGGCAGGGUUUCCUCAUCAGCGUGCUUCUGCCGUGUCCGUAGGAAGACGGGAGCUGCGCGCCCUGGCAGCUGGUGGGCGGUUUCUGUUUGCCCCGCGGCCGCUGCCCACCCCGUCAUCUGCCGUUGGUGGUGCCGGGUCACCCAGCGUAAGGUGGCUCUUUUUCCCUUUGUAACUCAGGGGUGGGAGGUGCUUUGAAGCUCGGCGAGGCUCCAGUUCUCCAGGCUUCAGUCACUUCCUCCCUGCCUUCCUCUGCGCGCAUCAUCGUUUCCUCCGUUCCGUGUGUUCUGUUUAGUCCGUUCCGUUUCACGCACAGAUUCUCAUUUGGCCGGUGGGAGCCGCUUCAUCUCGAUUUCUGUGUCCAUUUGCUAGGCACCUGCCGUCCUCUGAGUGCUUCUUUGCUUUCCGGUGUGAAGAGCCGUUCAAGGCCUCAUGUCACGCCUCCUGUGCCCCAGCCCUGGAAACAGCCGUCUCCCCAAGGACUUGUGCUCCUUUAAGCAAGAACAGCAUCUGGGAACCAAGAUGUGGGCGUGAGGUGCGUUUCCUGCUGUUGGGGUGCUGCUUACCCAGGUUCUCUCUGUAGACAGAGCUGGGGAGUACAUGCAUGCAUCUGUCUGUCCGUCCGUCCGUCCAUCCAUCCAUCCAUCCAGCGGACAACUGUGAGAUCACCCUGAUACCAACACCACAGGGCACAGCUGGUUUUCUCUCUGCGUGGCUCUCAGCCCUUUUCUGAGUGGUUUGCGUUCUCCGUAGCCUGGGCACUGACUCGAUCCGUUCUCUUGUAAAUAACUUGCCUCAUCCUCCCCACAGAGAUGCCCUCCUCACCCCGCGGGGGCGCCCCUGCGGAUGCCCUCCAGCCAGAGACCUCCGGGAAAGAGCUUUCCAGAUGGAGAGAGAGUACCGCCCGGCCCUUUACCGUUAGGAAUAGCGGAAUUAGAAUCUGACCAGCUUAUUAAAAGCAAAUUAAGCAAAAAAACAAAAAAAAACAAACAACAAAACAAAAAAAAAACAUUAGAAGAAACGUAGCUUUUUAUUCACAAAUAACAUGGUGGUCCCUACCGAGGGGCUGAGGGCAUUCAUAAUUCAGCAACAUGGCUUGCUAUCAGAUUAAUACCCUGAAAUCAAUUGCUUUUCUAAACACUAGCGACAAGCUGCCCCAAGUUUAUUUUAAAGGAUAUCAGAAGAAAUAACUAUUCACAUGAGAGGAAAAUCCUCAAGGUUCUUAAAAAUACAUUCCCCAUACGCAGGAAACCAUAAAACCGCACCAAACCCCAUGAAUGGCCUUGAGCGAGAAUGCAGUCGCGUUCUCUUGCCGGGCACCUGUUACCACACAGCGGCCUCAGACGCUCCACGCUUGACCCGCUCGCAGCUCGGCAGGCCAGACGGGCAGGCGCUGCUUUGCCGGGCCCUCUGCACGGCGGGGCUCAGCCCGUGCUCCACCUCGUUCUCCGGGAAGAGCCUGAUAGGUCUGCAGUCGUUCGGGUUGUCGGCCGAGUUCUGUUCCGAGGCCAUAGGUGAUGGUCCUUCCCGUUCCCCGGUUUCCUUAUUGGCGUCAGCAGAGGGCUGCUCUUAGGCUGCCUUCGCGCUCUGCUCCACAACCCCCCAGUCCUCAGAGUCGGCAAUGGAGAACCUGCUGUGAAUCGAAUCCCCUUACCCUUUGUGCCCGGCCCUCACUACGUACAGGCUCGCCUGAUUAGGUCAGGCCCACCAGGAUAGUCCCCCUUUCUUGAAGUCCACAAGGGUGUCCGAGGGUGAGGCUCACUGGGGGUCCUAGAAUUCCGCCUACCACAGUCUUCCUGUUCGUAGCCAGAAGGAGUCGACAUCGUCAACAUGUCUGCCUUCCCCAAUUAAUCCAUAGAUUUGUCAAGAUUCUAAACAGAAUGCUCAUUUCUUCCACAAAAUGUGAUGAGCGGAAAAAUUUACCUGAAACUUACAUGCAAAAAUAGCUAGGUCAGUUCUGUAGAAACAUAUGGUUGGAGACCUUGCUCGCCAGUGUCCCUGACUUACCGUGGAGAUGCGGUAACUAAGACCGACCAGCAUGAUCCCAGCGCAGGGGCAGAUGGAAGAAUGACGUAGAAGGGAGAGCCCAGGAUGGCGACGGUGAGGGGCUGGGGCCGAUGGGAGGCUCUGUGCACCCCCAGGGGCCAGAGUGGCCUCAGCAUCUGUGGGUUUUUGUCCGGCUGGCAGGUGCAGAGCCAGCGGCUGGAGGGGGUCCAGGACCUGGGAGCAGUCUGCCGCUGGGACCUGGGAGUGGGGGUUCAAGUGGUUCGGGGCCUUUCAUGUGGUUACGUCCUCAGCACAGCAGGGAGGAAUCUUGUCUUUCACCCAAACAGCCAGGAUUUGGUUUUCUGCCUCAGAGAUAAUUGGCGGUGCUUGUGAAAAGGUUCGAACGAUUGGUUGUCUUAAAAAAAGCGAAAGGCAGGUACACCUCGCGGCUCUUACCGUGUAAGAGGGAGCCGUGGGGCUCCACAAUGCUCCUCACGUCAAAGUGGCCAACAGGCGCUGCGGGCAGUGAGCGGGCGGCCCACCCCGGCCCACCGAUCGCGCCCGGGGCCCCCGACGUUCUGGUGACGGCAGGCCCACACCUGCAGGGACCCCGGCGGCCCGGCUGCGGCCCUGGGUUUGAUACAGCAGUCGGCUAAUCCGUGUGGGGGGCCUCGGCAACACCUGUCGCCAGGUGAGCCGGACCCGCCUUACCCGCCUCCCUGGCUUUCGCUUUCUCCUCUCAGCUAACGGGCAGGUGGAUGGGGGCCCGCUGACGCCAGACUCGGGCGGAGGAGGCCAUCCUUGGCCGUAGGCGCUGGGCCGGCAGCUCCCGGAAUCCCCUGCGGAGGCUCGCUCAGACAGAGCUCUGGGUUCCACCCUGGCCGGUCUGCUUUACGCUGGCUGGGGCGGGGCCCGGGAACCUGCAUUUCGACUUCGUUCCCGGGGGGGUGCUGCUGCGCGUCCAGAGACCAGAGCCGGAGAACAGCGGGCUCGGGAAAGAGUUAGCUUCUCUCCCUCCCUUUCCCAGCGGCUUCCUUUCCGGAAGUCCUUACCGAGCACCCAUUGUUGCCGUCGGGGAGCUGUAAAUAAUACUUUGGUGGGGGGCUGUUACGGAGAGGACCUCUUUCUGACUGGUCCCCCCUGGAAAAGGUGCUGGCUUCUCGCGCUGCAGCCACCGCCCUGGUCUCUCCGGGCUGGCGGAGUCCAGGCAGGACGUGGUCCUCCCGGCCGCCACGACCCCUUUCCUGUCGCCUGGGCCCCAGGUCUGUGCGCAGACUGCGUAACUACAUAUAGGGAAUCUGGCUGGGCCCCGAUGGGCGUGUUGGGCAAGGACAGCUACCGGGGCCCCUGGACACAAAGGGGGCAGAGAUGGGGUGCUGCCCCCACGGGGGUCCCACCACCCUCCCCCAGCAACGUGAUCCUACUCUCCCCUCGCUGCUCCCUGGCCCUGUGGGGCACCGGGUAUUCCCAUUCCUUCCUCCGUCCCCAGGCCCUGGUGGUGCUUGUGUGUGGCUAGUGCUCCAUACCUAGUCCUGCCAUUGAAUGCCGAGGAGCAGGUGGCUCACGUCAGAUGCUAACAUCCACUCUGUCAAUGUGCUCUGCAGGCUGCCAGGCACCGAUGUAAAGUGGGGUAAAAACAGAAACGGCUGGGGCCGGGAGCAGGAGGAAGAGGUUGCCCAUACACCCGGGGACCCACUAUGGUUGCAGGCCAGCUGGGAGCUCCCUGGCAGCCCUAGGGAAAAAGGGACCAGGUUUCUGCCAGGGGAGGCAGCGGGCUGCUUGUUGGUGGGAGAUCUGGUGGGGGUGGAGGUGUGCUGGGCGGGGCCGGGACACGCCCCCUGGGUGUGAGCUGUGUGUGACCCACAGCCCUGGCUUUGUCAUCUCGUUUCCGGGUCUCGUGAGGGCCCACGAGGUGAAGGAUGCGAAAGCGCCGUCUUGUCCUUGAAGCAGCAGGCACGUAAAUGGUCUCUCAAGAGUCCAAAGGGGCAGCGAUAAUUAGGAGUCACCAUUUGAGUGGUGCUUUUCUGAGCACUGUCCGAAGCAGGGUGUUGGCUUGUUGAAUCCCGUGGAGUCACGGGCUGGGGUGCCGCUGACAGGUGGGGAAACUGAGGUGCAGAGGGGGCAGGAAGCCUGUUCAAGGCCACCUGACUGCUAACGGUGCAGCCUCUUCCCUGCGUCCCCCCGCAGCACAUCAGCACGAGGACGUGAGUGCCGCGGGCCUGGGGUAGGUGUCUGUAGAGACAGUGCUGUGACAUCACGUGUGACCCGCACACAGGAGGGUCCCGACAGCCCCCAAGGGAAGUGGGAGGUGACCGGCUUGAAGAGGCAUGCUUCGGGGGUGGGGGGGGGGCAGGCUGGGCUCCUUGCGACUUUCUCCCCUCUUAGCCACUAUCCAAAGAGGCUCGGGGCACACGGAGUCCACAGCCUGCGUCUGGGCCCCACCUGCCGCACCCCGUGACCUUGAUGUGCAGUUAGACCUCCUAAGCCCCGUCUCCCUCGGUUGGGAAGGGAGGUGGGUGGGUGGGUGAAGUAAUGACACCCGAGGAAGCUGAUGUGCUGACCCCUAGCCCUUUGUCGAACUGCAGACCUGUGGUUCAAUCUCAGAGCUCCUUGUAGGUGGGGAAACUGAGGCACAAGAAGAUUUUUUUGUUUGUUUGUUUGUUUUUCUUUUUCUCUUUUAGGAGCCCGUGCUGACGGGUGGCAUGGCGGAGGGUGAGCCCAGCUCUGUCACGAAGGCCGGUGCCCUCGGCCUGCCCUGUGGGUCUUAGUGCCAGGCCUGGAGGCACCCUUGGUUUCUAUAUGACAAGCGUUCACGUGCAGCUUGCUCAGCGCACAGGCGUGUGGGCUCUGGGCCCCCCCGCUCUCACGGGUGCCCCGUUUCAAACCAUGAAGGUCGGGAGCUGGCGUGCGCUCGGUGCCUUGGGUUCGCCCAGAACACCCACCUGGAGACGCUGACCGCUCAGGUGAGCAAAAUGCCUGCUCAGGAACCGGUCCCUUCUCCCUCCCCGCGUUCAUGGCUGCUUCCCCCUGGGACCUCGCUCCAGAUGCAGACGGGUGUGUCCAGGCAGGUGGCUCCUGAACACCCCUGAGGACUUUCUGCAACAUUCUGGAAGCCCUUGCCAGGUGGCCACGUCUUCCAGAAUGCCCUGUGUGCUUCCUGCCUCCACGCUGGGCUCCUGCUAAGUUCUCACAUAAAGAAGAAAUUCAGGAAGGGGCGUCAGGUGGCCGGCAGUCCCGGAGGCCCCCGAGCCUUCUCCCUGACCAGGAACCUGCGGGGGGACUGCACGCUUUCCGGGGGGUCGGUGCCCAGACAGGCUGAGGCUCCAGGUCAGCCGCGAGCCCGCUGGAUCAAGGCCGAGGGUCACGGUGAGGGUGAGAAGGGACCCGCGGGGUGGAGGUGGGAGGGGGAGGGGCAGCUCGGCCAGGGCCUCCGCAGGGGGAGCGGGGAGCGAGCAGGUCUGUCCCGCCGCACGCAGGUGGCAGCGCGCGGGUGCGCCGACCCCCACGGACCCCCUCGCGGGCGGAGGGGGGGAAGGGGGGGUCCUCUCGCGUCCCCUCCCCUUCCCCGCGUCCCCUUCCCCGCGCCACGCCCCCCCCUGCCGCCGAGCGAUAGCUAAUUGGGCAGAGAAAGGGCCCGAUUGUCUGCGCGCCGGAAGCGCGGGCGUGGGCGGCUGGAAGCGCCGAGAAGGUGGCCGGCCUCGCCCGGCAGCUGCCGAGCUGCCGCCGGAGCCGCCCGGGGGUGACGUCAGCGCUGGCGAGCGGGGAGCCCGGCGGAGAGGGGGGCGCUCGCGGCCUCGCCACAAUGCGACCAUUGUGGGCCCGUGAAUGCGGCCGGGCCUCUUGACCGGGGAGGCCGCGAGCCUCGCGCUCUGGCCUGUCACUCGCCGCCGGGGAGGCCCGAGCUCCGAUCGGGGGGAGCAGGGGAGCAGGCCCCUCUCCCCCUCCCCCCCCCCCCCCCCCC